UACAGAGGUUUCAAGCGUUGUUCGGAUUCAUUGGGCGUAAAGGGUGCGUAGGUGGCGCCGUAAGUCAGGUGUGAAAUUUCGGAGCUUAACUCCGAAACUGCAUUUGAUACUGCGGUGCUUGAGGACUGGAGAGGAGACUGGAAUUCACGGUGUAGCAGUGAAAUGCGUAGAGAUCGUGAGGAAGACCAGUGGCGAAGGCGGGUCUCUGGACAGUUCCUGACACUGAGGCACGAAGGCCAGGGGAGCGAACGGG
rnacentral:rRNA from 1 species